rnacentral:rRNA from 1 species
GACGAACGCUGGCGGCGUGCUUAACACAUGCAAGUCGAACGGAAAGGCCCUGCUUUUGUGGGGUGCUCGAGUGGCGAACGGGUGAGUAACACGUGAGUAACCUGCCCUUGACUUUGGGAUAACUUCAGGAAACUGGGGCUAAUACCGGAUAGGAGCUCCUGCUGCAUGGUGGGGGUUGGAAAGUUUCGGCGGUUGGGGAUGGACUCGCGGCUUAUCAGCUUGUUGGUGGGGUAGUGGCUUACCAAGGCUUUGACGGGUAGCCGGCCUGAGAGGGUGACCGGCCACAUUGGGACGGAGAGACGGCCCAGACCCAUAGGGGGGCAGGGAGGGGGGAAUAUGGCACAAGGGGGGGAGGCUUGAGGCAGCAACCCCGGGUGGGGGAGGGGGGCUUUCGGGUUGUAACCCGCUUUCGCCUGUGACGAGGGGGGAGUGAGGGUAAGGGGUAAAGAGGCCCCGGCAAACACCGUG